AUUUAGAGUGUCCACCCACUCCAGGCACAGAGGAGGAUGACGAGACAGACAGACAGACAGGGCGCUGCCUUCGGAAGGAGGAAGAACCAUCGAUGGCUCAUGUCGGUCUUCAGCAUCUGCCAACCCCUCCUGACGUGUGAGGUCACAGUUCACAGGCUCUGGGGUCAGGACGUGGACGUCGUGGGGGCUGCUACUCCGUCUUCCGCAGGGUCCCCGGCCCCUUUUCCUCCUUUCCUGUGUGCGUCUGUCCCCUCCACCCCGGCUCCGGCUGUGCCUGAGAGAGCAGCAGCCCUGGGGCCCCCGACAAACCGGCCGGCUGUGGCUGCAAGGGGGCCUGGUCCUCGGGAAGCCGCGGCCGCGCAGGCGGGGUGCACAGCGCUCUUCCGUGAGUGGCUGCGACACGCAACUAGGGAUGUGGAAUGCGUCGCACGCUAACGUGCAUGAUUGCUCUCCGCUUCUCCUGCUGUCAUUAAGCAGCUAAAUAAUGUGGCCAGACGCUCGGAAACCGGCUGCCAGUGUCAGCGAAGCAGUCGGCCGGUGACGGACGAGCAGAGGGUCCCUCGCUUCCUGCCCGGACCGGGGGCCCCUCCUGCGGGUUCUCGGGCUCUUCCCACGGCACGAGCGGGAGCAGCCGCCGCUCCCCCCGCCCGGGAUCUUCGGCCGGGGGCCCUGACUUGUCACCCGGGUCUGAGCCGCGGCACGCCUCCUGCGGCCCGGUGUGACUGCCCGGGAAAACACGUUGGCUGUUUUCUGGAGAAACGGAAGUGGGGCCCCGCUCGCUUGGGCCGCUCGCUGCCGCGGGGCGCCUGGCUGAGCCCCCUCCCGCCCUGUUGGUCCAGCCGGGCCCAGCGGAGAGACCCUAGUCCUGUCUCUGCCUUCACCUUCCCUCGUGUGAGCUUCAGGAGCCACACAGGUUCCAUUCUCUGCGUGGAGAUUGACGUGGUGACCCCAGGCAGCUGCCUUCGCAGCCAGGCCUCCUCCGCUCUGCCUCCGUCUUCUCCGGCACGGCCAGCGUGGCCUGCUCCCCGCUCAGAGCCCUCCGUGGCUGCCUGCUGCCACUCCGGGUCCCGCCGCCUCACGCCCGGGAUGGGGGCCUGAAUCGCCCCCCGAUGGCUCUCCUGCCAACGGGUGACCGGAGUCCCCGGCCGCGGCAUGGUGGCCACGGGAGGGGCACAGCCAGCGCCCAAGGAGGUCCUGUCCCGCCGGCAGGCGGCGUCCGUCACGGACCUGGCCCCUCCGUGAGCUGGCUUUGUCCUGAAAAGGGCCCACGUGCCUUCUGGAAGGAUCUCACUUACCGAUCCACCCACGUUGAGUGCACGAUUGGAGCCAGUCACCCGGCUGGCCCCGUCCUUGAGGGAUGGAUGAAGGGGUGAAAGGGACGGCCCGCGAGGCUGCAGGAUCAGGGUGAGAGGUACCCGCAGCAUAAACGCAGCACGGCCUCGCCCUGUGUUGACGUUGCGUCCGGUCCCCGCAGUCCUGCCAACCUGGGUGAGCCUCUCCUCUGGGGACCAAGGCCACGAGCUCAGGGAGGUUGAGUCACCUACUCAGCGCUGCACCUGCAGCCUCCGUGAAGCUGUGGCCCAAGAGGUCCCCGGAGGUAUGCUUUUUAUCCUCACCGCUUUGGCAAGAUCUGGUCCCCUUCACCGGCUUCCUGGCUCCCCGGCCUCCGGGAAACGACCUCCCCCAGCCUCCCCUGCACGCAGAUGGGGGUCACAGACCGACUCUGGCCUUGGGAAUGCAGAAGCGGCGUGAGCCACGCGUGGCACCUGCUCAACAUUCCUUUUGGCAAAGAGCUGGGGGCUCAGGACGGACCGAGCCCUCCGGAUCCUCGCGGAUGCCCCCGGACGCCCCUGGGUCCCCGCGUACCGCCUGGAAGGAGAGGAGGGAACCUGGUGCUCGCUCGCUGCUGCUCAUCCAACGUGUCAGAGAGAACACGGGCCGUCCAUCAGACCGCGGGCCAGAGACCCUGUGGGUACUCGGGAGGGUCUCUCUCUUAAUCUGUGCGGAGCACCCAGCGUGCCCGCGGGUGGAAGCAUCCGGGACUGAGCUCGGGAGGGCCAGCACCAGGCCCUGAAGCUUCUCCCCCGGAGAAGUGAGGGUCCUCCCUGGAGGGGAGGGGAGGCUCAGGGUGACACGUGGCCGCCACCCUGCGCCUUGGCAGGCACCUUUUGGGAACGCGGCCCCCCACCAGGGCCGUGUCCUGUGCCCUCUGGCAGCCUCGGGGACAUGUUGGCUGACUCCCGUCCCAGUUUCAAGGGAGACCGUUUUACAGCAGAAAGGGAGACCGAGGCUCGUCUGAGACUCAUCUCCCUGAUUUAGAAAGUCAGCGGUUCCAGCAGCGCGCGGUGGCCGGUGUUUUACGAGGCCCUUUUACGCGCACAACGCAUUUUACGACUUAAGAAAGCGACCGGGCAGCGCAUGCUUUUCCCUGCGCAGGAAAUCGACACGCCCAGCAUCUCCAAUCAAUAAAAUCACAUUUCGCUGA